rnacentral:lncRNA from 1 species
UAGUUUUAAUUUUCUAGUUGUGAAAAUGUUCUUAAACUUUAUUGUGUCUUACCAAGUUCUUCAAAGUUUUGUUCUAAGUAUCUUAGGAAUACAAGAUGAACAACAAAUACAUUAUAAUUCUAUUAAGUCAAACAAAUAAACUAAUAAAAUGAAAAAAAAUGAAAUACGAUAAUUUACCAUUCCAUUUAACGUGACAUAUGAUCUAGUUAGUCUAAUUUUGAAUAUUGGUAAGGGAGGAUUAGACACUGGAGUAAAGUCUAUCAUUGGUGUAUUGAGAAUAGAGAUUGGUGUAAAUCGUGAGUUAGUAUUGGAUAUUUAUAGCGUUAUUAAAUUUUUUGACUUUCCAC